CCUCACCAUGACAAUCCCAGACAAUGCCUUUGCAAAAAUACCUAGAUUUUAUCUAUACAUAUAGGAUACAGACAAGAUUCCUCCCUGUUUUCUUCUCUUGAGUGAUUGCACAAUCACAUGCACUCUGGACAUGACGGUUUUAGAGGUACAUAGUUUACCUUCAUAAAAAUGGGCUGUAUUGGAGGUAUUUGCUCUCAAAUUCCAUUAGCAAAAUGCUCAGUACUGAAAGAACCCAAGCAAUUGUUCUUUAGUUACUGAAUCCUCUAUGCAAUAUUCAUCUACCUUAUAGUUCUCUCACUCAUCAUGUCUAGAUUCCAUCCUAAUGAUAUGCUGAAUGGUUAAUUGCCC